rnacentral:rRNA from 1 species
GAUGAAGGCUGGCGGCGUGCCUAAUACAUGCAAGUCGAGCGAACAGACGAGGAGCUUGCUCCUCUGACGUUAGCGGCGGACGGGUGAGUAACACGUGGAUAACCUACCUAUAAGACUGGGAUAACUUCGGGAAACCGGAGCUAAUACCGGAUAAUAUAUUGAACCGCAUGGUUCAAUAGUGAAAGACGGUUUUGCUGUCACUUAUAGAUGGAUCCGCGCCGCAUUAGCUAGUUGGUAAGGUAACGGCUUACCAAGGCAACGAUGCGUAGCCGACCUGAGAGGGUGAUCGGCCACACUGGAACUGAGACACGGUCCAGACUCCUACGGGAGGCAGCAGUAGGGAAUCUUCCGCAAUGGGUGAAAGCCUGACGGAGCAACGCCGCGUGAGUGAUGAAGGUCUUCGGAUCGUAAAACUCUGUUAUUAGGGAAGAACAAAUGUGUAAGUAACUAUGCACGUCUUGACGGUACCUAAUCAGAAAGCCACGGCUAACUACGUG